rnacentral:rRNA from 1 species
UACGAAGGGGGCUAGCGUUGUUCGGAAUCACUGGGCGUAAAGCGCACGUAGGCGGUUCGUUAAGUCAGGGGUGAAAUCCUGGAGCUCAACUCCAGAACUGCCUUUGAUACUGGCGACCUUGAGUUCGGGAGAGGUGAGUGGAACUGCGAGUGUAGAGGUGAAAUUCGUAGAUAUUCGCAAGAACACCAGUGGCGAAGGCGGCUCACUGGCCCGAUACUGACGCUGAGGUGCGAAAGCGUGGGGAGCAAACAGG